AGUCACUUGAAUGGUGAACUAACUGAAAAUAGCUAUUAAUGGACAGCUACUUCUUAAAGAAUGCUUUAGAUUGCAGGUUAAGAUUGAUGACUUUCAUGAGCCUCUUAAGGCUGGUGAUUAAAGCUCCUGAACUAGCAAAUAUGGUCAUGAAUCUACAUCAUGUGCUUUUUUCGCAAGUGUGUUCUUUUGCGAUGUCCUUUUAGCAUACAGUAGUUUGUUCAAACAUGUACAUAUGUGCAGGACUUUCCUGGUCAAUUUGCAAAGCAACAUAUUCAAGAAAACGAGGAAAUGGCAACUCUUAGGUUUUCAAACAGAUCAUGGCCGGUGAAGCUCUUAAGCUAUAUGCAUGAAAUCCGGGUGUUCUUUGCUGCUGGUUGGCCCGUAUUUGCAGAACUCAUCGGUGUAUGGGAGAUAUCUGUGUUUGAGCUCAUUGAUACGUCUCCAUUUUCAUUAAUGCCGGUAAGGAGCUGAUUUACAGCAUUGAUAUUAAUCCAGGAUUCCUAAUUUUGCCUCCUUUGCUCAGUAGUUGCGAAUCAAUGAAAAGUGGGAUUGAACCAUCUACAUGAAGAGCAAGCCAUUCUGAGCUGGAUUUUCAUGGUCCUACACUUUCAAGGCCUCUCACAUCUCCCCUAAACUGGCCAGCAAUAUUGAUUUAGAGCAGACUGUUUUCAG